UUAAUUGAAGAGUUUGAUCAUGGCUCAGAUUGAACGCUGGCGGCAGGCCUAACACAUGCAAGUCGAGCGGCAGCGACUUAACUGAACCUUCGGGGAACGUUAAGGGCGGCGAGCGGCGGACGGGUGAGUAAUGCCUGGGAA
rnacentral:rRNA from 1 species